rnacentral:rRNA from 1 species
CACGUGGGCAACCUGCCUGUAAGACUGGGAUAACCCCGGGAAACCGGGGCUAGUACCGGAUAAUACUUUCUUUUGCAUAAAGGAAAGUUGAAAGGCGGCUUCGGCUGUCACUUACAGGUGGGCCCGCGGCGCAUUAGCUAGUUGGUGAGGUAACGGCUCACCAAGGCGACGAUGCGUAGCCGACCUGAGAGGGUGAUCGGCCACACUGGGACUGAGACACGGCCCAGACUCCUACGGGAGGCAGCAGUAGGGAAUCUUCCGCAAUGGACGAAAGUCUGACGGAGCAACGCCGCGUGAGUG